CUUGAUCGAACCCAGCCACAGCGGCCGGUCGGCGGGCCGGUUGCGGCCGUAGCUGGCCUGAAGCGCCUGGAUCUC
rnacentral:antisense_RNA from 1 species